CUGGCUCAGAACGAACGCUGGCGGCGCGUUUAAGCAUGCAAGUCGAGCGGCAAGGGCCUUCGGGCCCCUAGAGCGGCGGACGGGUGAGUAACACGUGGACAAUCUGCCCCCCGGCCCGGGAUAGCCCAGGGAAACCUGGAUUAAUACCGGAUGAGACGGGACCCGCGAUGGCGGGACCCGGGAAAGGCGCUGCGGCGCCGCCGGGGGAUGAGUCUGCGUCCCAUUAGCUAGACGGCGGGGUAACGGCCCACCGUGGCGACGAUGGGUAGCCGGCCUGAGAGGGUGGACGGCCACAUUGGAACUGAGACACGGUCCAGACUCCUACGGGAGGCAGCAGCUAAGAAUCUUCCGCAAUGGGCGAAAGCCUGACGGAAGCGACGCCGCGUGAACGAAGAAGGCCGUGAGGUUGUAAAGUUCUUUUCGGGAGGGGGAACAACCGUGGCAGGGAAUGGCCGCGGGAUGACGUGAAUCCCGGAAUAAGCCCCGGCUAACUACGUGCCAGCCGCCGC
rnacentral:rRNA from 1 species